rnacentral:rRNA from 1 species
GACGAACGCUGGCGGCGUGCCUAAUACAUGCAAGUCGAGCGAAACGGCGGAUGGGUGAGUAACGCGUGGGUAACCUGCCUUUAAGUCUGGGAUACCAUUUGGAAACAGAUGCUGAUACCGGAUACUAAAGGAUGGACCUGCGAUGCAUUAGCUCGUUGGUACGGUAACGGGUUACCAAGGCGAUGAUGCAUAGCCGGGCUGAGAGACUGAUCGGCCACAUUGGGACUGAGACACGGCCCAAAAUCCUACGGGAGGCAGCAGUGGGGAAUAUGCCACAAUGGACGAAAGUCUGAUGCAGCAAUGCCGCGUGAGUGAAGAAGGUUUUAGGAUCGUAAAGCUCUGUUGUUGGUGAAGCGGUAAUCAACCAGAAAGUCACGGCUAACUACGUGCCAGCAGCCGCGGUAAUAC